rnacentral:rRNA from 1 species
AUAGCCAGUGGAAACAUUGGGUAAUACCGGAUACUUCUUAUGCAAGGAAUUGUAUAAGAGAAAAGUACUUUUGUGCUGCUGAUAGAGGAGCCUGCGCUUGAUUAGCUUGUUGGUGGGGUAAUGGCCUACCAAGGCGACGAUCAAUAGCCGGCCUGAGAGGGUGUACGGCCACACUGGGACUGAGACACGGCCCAGACUCCUACGGGAGGCAGCAGCUAAGAAUCUUCCACAAUGGGCGAAAGCCUGACGGAGCGUCACCGCGUGGAUGAAGAAGGCCGUGAGGUUGUAAAAUCCUUUUAUUGUUGAGGAAUAAUUAUUAUGCUUAAGUGUAAUAUGAUGACGGUAGGCAAUGAAUAAGCCCCGGCUAAUUACGUG